rnacentral:rRNA from 4 species
CCCCUCGGGGCUCCUUGGUGAUUCAUAAUAACUUAACGAAUCGCAUGGCCUUGCGCCGGCGAUGGUUCAUUCAAAUUUCUGCCCUAUCAACUUUCGAUGGUAGGAUAGUGGCCUACCAUGGUGGCAACGGGUAACGGGGAAUUAGGGUUCGAUUCCGGAGAGGGAGCCUGAGAAACGGCUACCACAUCCAAGGAAGGCAGCAGGCGCGCAAAUUACCCAAUCCCGACACGGGGAGGUAGUGACAAUAAAUACUGAUACGGGGCUCUUUUGGGUCUCGUAAUUGGAAUGAGAACAAUUUAAAUCCCUUAACGAGGAACAAUUGGAGGGCAAGUCUGGUGCCAGCAGCCGCGGUAAUUCCAGCUCCAAUAGCGUAUAUUAAAGUUGUUGCAGUUAAAAAGCUCGUAGUUGAACCUUGGGUCUGGCUGGCCGGUCCGCCUCACCGCGAGUACUGGUCCGGCUGGACCUUUCCUUCUGGGGAACCCCAUGGCCUUCACUGGCUGUGGGGGGAACCAGGACUUUUACUGUGAAAAAAUUAGAGUGUUCAAAGCAGGCCUUUGCUCGGAUACAUUAGCAUGGAAUAAUAGAAUAGGACGUGCGGUUCUAUUUUGUUGGUUUCUAGGACCGCCGUAAUGAUUAAUAGGGAUAGUCGGGGGCGUCAGUAUUCAGCUGUCAGAGGUGAAAUUCUUGGAUUUGCUGAAGACUAACUACUGCGAAAGCAUUCGCCAAGGAUG